rnacentral:rRNA from 1 species
GACGAAGGUGGCAAGCGUUGUUCGGAUUCACUGGGCAUAAAGGGCGCGUAGGCGGUUCCGAAAGUGGCAUGUGAAAUCCCCCGGCUCAACCGGGGAAGUGCGUGCCAAACUUCGGUGCUAGAGGGCGGUAGGGGGGACUGGAACUCUCGGUGGAGCGGUGAAAUGCGUAGAUAUCUGGAGGAACACCGAUGGCGAAGGCAGCCCCCUGGGCUAACACUGACGCUCAUGCACGAAAGCGUGGGGAGCAAACAGG